CUACGGGCGGCUGCAGUGGGGAAUAUUGCACAAUGGGCGCAAGCCUGAUGCAGCCAUGCCGCGUGUAUGAAGAAGGCCUUCGGGUUGUAAAGUACUUUCAGCGGGGAGGAAGGGAGUAAAGUUAAUACCUUUGCUCAUUGACGUUACCCGCAGAAGAAGCACCGGCUAACUCCGUGCCAGCAGCCGCGGUAAUACGGAGGGUGCAAGCGUUAAUCGGAAUUACUGGGCGUAAAGCGCACGCAGGCGGUUUGUUAAGUCAGAUGUGAAAUCCCCGGGCUCAACCUGGGAACUGCAUCUGAUACUGGCAAGCUUGAGUCUCGUAGAGGGGGGUAGAACUCCAGGUGUAGCGGUGAAAUGCGUAGAGAUCUGGAGGAAUACCGGUGGCGAAGGCGGCCCCCUGGACGAAGACUAACACUCAGGUGCGAAAGCGUGGGGAGCAAACAGGAUUAGAUACCCCAGUAGUC
rnacentral:rRNA from 1 species